rnacentral:tRNA from 1 species
UGGUGGGUAGCUCAGUGGUUAGAGCGCCUAAACAUCCUUAUUCACCCCUUGCCUGAAAAGGCCGACGAAUUGAGGGUUAUCGCAGCAGGCUUCUCGCCUGCCAAGCGGGAGGUCGCGGGUUCGAUUCCCGCUCCGCUAC